CGAGAGUCUUUGACUCAAGUGGCGGACGGGUGAGUAACACGUAAGAAUUUGCCUUUAGGAGGGGGACAACAACUGGAAACGGUUGCUAAUACCCCAUAUGCUUUCGAGUGAAAUGGAUUUUUCCGCCUAUAGAGAAGCUUGCGGCUGAUUAGCUUGUUGGUGAGGUAAUGGCUCACCAAGGCGACGAUCAGUAUCUGGUUUGAGAGGACGAUCAGACACACUGGAACUGAGACACGGUCCAGACUCCUACGGGAGGCAGCAGUGGGGAAUUUUCCGCAAUGGGCGAAAGCCUGACGGAGCAAUCUCGCGUGAGGGAUGACUGCCUAUGGGUUGUAAACCUCUUUUUUCAGGGAGGAAUAAAUGACGUGUACCUGAAGAAUAAGCAUCGGCUAACUCCGUGCCAGCAGCCGCGGUAAUACGGAGGAUGCAAGUGUUAUCCGGAAUCACUGGGCGUAAAGCGUCUGUAGGUGGUUUAAUAAGUCAACUGUUAAAUCUUGAGGCUCAACUUCAAAAUCGCAGUCGAAACU
rnacentral:rRNA from 1 species